GACGAACGCUGGCGGCGUGCUUAACACAUGCAAGUGGAGCGACGAACCAGGCUUCGGCCUGGGGCAGAGCCGCGAACGGGUGAGUAACACGUGGGUAACCUGCCCUGAUGAUCAGGGACAACCCGGGGAAACCCGGGCUAAUACCGAAUGUGCUGCCCUCGCAUCAGUGAGGGUAGGAAAGGAAGCUUCGGCCUCCGCAUCAGGAUGGGCCCGCGGCCCAUUAGCUUGUUGGUGAGGUAACGGCUCACCAAGGCUUCGAUGGGUAGCUGGUCUGAGAGGACGAUCAGCCACACUGGGACUGAGACACGGCCCAGACUCCUACGGGAGGCAGCAGUGGGGAAUCUUGCGCAAUGGGCGAAAGCCUGACGCAGCGACGCCGCGUGAGGGAUGACGGCC
rnacentral:rRNA from 1 species